CCUACGGGCGGCAGCAGUGGGGAAUAUUGCACAAUGGGGGAAACCCUGAUGCAGCAAAGCCGCGUGAGUGAGGAAGUAUUUCGGUAUGUAAAGCUCUAUCAGCAGGGAAUAGAAAAGAAGGUACCUGAAAAAGAAGCACGGGAUAACUAGGUGCCAGAAGACGCGGUAAUAGGUAGGGGGCAAGCGUUAUCAGGAUUUACUGGGUGUAAAGGGAGCGUUGACGGAAAGUCAAGUAUGAGGUGAAAACACAAGGCUCAACCAUGGGAUUGAUUUUGAAAAUGGCAGUCUAGAGUACGGUAGAGGUAAGAGGAAUUCGUAGUGUAGCGGUGAAAUGCGUAGAUAUUAGGAAGAACACCAGUGGCGAAGGCGUCUUACUGGACCGAAACUGACGUUGAGGCUCGAAAGCGUGGGGAGCAAACAGGAUUAGAUACCCGAGUAGUC
rnacentral:rRNA from 1 species